UAGAGUUUGAUUCUGGCUCAGAUUGAACGCUGGCGGCAUGCCUUACACAUGCAAGUCGAACGGCAGCAUGAUCUAGCUUGCUAGAUUGAUGGCGAGUGGCGAACGGGUGAGUAAUACAUCGGAACGUGCCCUGUAGUGGGGAUAACUAGUCGAAAGAUUAGCUAAUACCGCAUACGACCUGAGGGUGAAAGUGGGGGACCGCAAGGCCUCAUGCUAUAGGAGCGGCCGAUGUCUGAUUAGCUAGUUGGUGGGGUAAAGGCCCACCAAGGCGACGAUCAGUAGCUGGUCUGAGAGGACGAUCAGCCACACUGGGACUGAGACGCGGCCCAGACUCCUACGGGAGGCAGCAGUGGGGAAUUUUGGACAAUGGGCGAAAGCCUGAUCCAGCAAUGCCGCGUGUGUGAAGAAGGCCUUCGGGUUGUAAAGCACUUUUGUCCGGAAAGAAAUGGCUCUGGUUAAUACCUGGGGUCGAUGACGGUACCGGAAGAAUAAGGACCGGCUAACUACGUGCCAGCAGCCGCGGUAAU
rnacentral:rRNA from 1 species